rnacentral:piRNA from 1 species
AAUAGUAUGAAGGCUCCUAGUAGG